rnacentral:rRNA from 1 species
GAUGAACGCUGGCGGCGUGCCUAAUACAUGCAAGUCGAGCGAACAGACGAUGAGCUUGCUCCUCUGACGUUAGCGGCGGACGGGUGAGUAACACGUGGAUAACGUACUUAUCAGACUGGUAACAUUUCGGAAAACCGGAGCUAAUACCGGAGAAUAUAUUGAACCGCAUGGGUCGAUAGUGAAAGACGGCUUUUGUGUAACUUAUAGAGGGAUCCGCGCCGCAUUGGCUGGUUGGUAAGGUAACGGCUUACCAAGGCAACGAUGCGUAGCCGACGGGUGAGAGUGGUCGGCGGCACUGGAACUGAGACACGGACCAGACGCCUACGGGAGGGAGCAGUAGGGAACCGGCGGCAGUAGGCGAAAGCAUGACGGAGCAGCGCGACGUGAGAGGUAACGGUCUUCGGUGCGUGAAGACCGCUUAUGAGGGAUAAACAGCUGUGUAAGGAAAUGUGCACGUCGUGACGGUAAUGAGUAAAAAAGCACCGGCUAACUACGUG